UAGUACAAGGUAAAAUAAUUAGCAUCUCAUUAAUUAAUUAGUCUCAAGUCGAAUAACUAACAAGCAAAUCUUUACUAAGUAUUGGUCUAGUGUUGAGAAGAAGGGUGGUUAUUCCCACCAACCGUGUUUGAUUAAUCCCAUUACAUAUAUACACAUGGGCUUUAAAGUUUCAAAACCAGUGCAUGUGCCAUAAAAUUCUAAGCGUAGUGGACACACACGCAUGUGUGUAUCAUGUGAUGUGAAUUCCACAUGAUGACAAACACCAAUAUAAUACACAUCAUUGUAGGGUUGCCUUGUGGCUAUGAGAUGCAUGUAGGUGCAGUAUGCCAUAUCUCAAAUAGAGCGCAUGCAAGUCUUAGAUCAUCAGCAAGUUUUGUGAGGUAAACAUACACGGAGAAUAUGGCAACCAAUAGUCGUAAGAGUGUGAUUAUGGGAGUAGUCAUAACAGUUCUUGUCAUACAGCAGGCCUAGGUAGAAGCCAAGAGCUGUUGUUGUUCCAUCUCGGGAAGAAACUGCUAUAACGCAUGCCGUGUCACGGGUGCCUCUCGCAAAACAUGUGCAAGGUUGUGUGGUUGCAAAAUUCUUGACAAGUGUGUGAGUCCUUGUGAUCGCUUCAAUCUUUACCCGGAAGCAGACGAAGCAAAAGUCAUUGAGUAUUGCAAGUUGGGAUGCAUGUCCUCCGUCUGCAACACCACAAACACUUUCAUCGUCGGUGAACAAGAGAAAGAUGUCAUAGAGAAU